GAUGAACGCUAGCGAUAGGCUUAACACAUGCAAGUCGAUGGGCAUCACGAAUUAGCAAUAGUUUGGUGGCGACCGGCGCACGGGUGCGUAACACGUAUACAACCUACCUUCAAUUGGGGAAUAACCUGGAGAAAUUUGGACUAAUACCCCAUGGUAAACGGAAGAGGCAUCUUUUUUGUUUUAAAGAUUUAUUGAUUGGAGAUGGGUAUGCGUAGGAUAGCUAGUUGGUAAGGUAACGGCUACCAAGGCAACGAUCCUUAGGGGUUCUGAGAGGAAGGUCCCCCACACUGGUAUGAGACACGGACCAGACUCCCUACCGGGAGGCAGCAGUGAGGAAUAUUGGUUCAAUGGUCGGAGAGGACUGAACCAAGCCAAAGUCCGGCGUGAAAGGAAAGACGGGCUCUUA
rnacentral:rRNA from 1 species